AAUUAACGCUGGCGGCAUGCCUAACACAUGCAAGUCGAGCGAGAAACCUCGGUUCGCCGGGGGAGUACAGCGGCGCACGGGUGAGUAGCGCGUGGGUAAUCUACCUUCGCCUGGGGGAUAACCCACCGAAGGGUGGGCUAAUACCGCAUAAUCCGGCGGGUUAUGCGACCUGUCGGCAAAGGUGGACUUCUGUCAUCAGAUGAGCCUGCGUACCAUUAGCUAGUUGGUAGGGUAAAGGCCUACCAAGGCGACGAUGGUUAGCUGGUCUGAGAGGAUGAUCAGCCACACUGGAACUGAGACACGGUCCAGACUCCUACGGGAGGCAGCAGUGGGGAAUUUUGCGCAAUGGGGGAAACCCUGACGCAGCAACGCCGCGUGAGUGAUGAAGGCCCUUGGGUCGUAAAGCUCUGACAGAGGGAAAGAAGUGUGUGGAGGCUAAUAACCUUUGCACUUGACGGUACCCUCAAAGGAAGCACCGGCUAACUCCGUGCCAGCCGCCGCGGUAAUAC
rnacentral:rRNA from 1 species